AUUGAACGCUAGCGGGAUGCCUUACACAUGCAAGUCGAACGGAGUGGCGAACGGGUGAGUAAUGUAUCGGAACGUGCCCAGUAGCGGGGGAUAACUACGCGAAAGCGUAGCUAAUACCGCAUACUAUUGGAGCGGCCGAUAUCGGAUUAGCCUGUUGGUGGGGUAACGGCGCACCAAGGCGACGAUCCGUAGCUGGUUUGAGAGGACGACCAGCCACACUGGGACUGGGACACGGCCCGGACUCCGACGGGAGGCAGCAGUGGGGAAUGUUGGGCAAUGGGGGAAACCCUGAUCCAGCCAUCCCGCGUGUGCGAUGAAGGCCUUCGGGUGGUAAAGCACUUUUGGCAAGGAGGCGGUACCUGCAGAAUAAGCACCGGCUAACUACGUGCCAGCAGCCGCGGUAAUUC
rnacentral:rRNA from 1 species